GCCCGGCUUGCAUAAUCGGUAGUGCGUCAGACUCUUAUAUGGUGGGAUCUGAAGGUUGCGAGUUCGAGCCUCGCGUUGGGCU
rfam:Dacryopinax sp. DJM-731 SS1 chromosome Tnknown DACRYscaffold_2, whole genome shotgun sequence.